GAUGAACGCUAGCUACAGGCUUAACACAUGCAAGUCGAGGGGCAGCAUGAUUGAAGCUUGCUUCAAUCGAUGGCGACCGGCGCACGGGUGAGUAACACGUAUCCAACCUGCCGAUAACUCGGGGAUAGCCUUUCGAAAGAAAGAUUAAUACCCGAUAGUAUAGUAUUUCCGCAUGGUUUCACUAUUAAAGAACUUCGGUUAUCGAUGGGGAUGCGUUCCAUUAGAUAGUUGGCGGGGUAACGGCCCACCAAGUCAACGAUGGAUAGGGGUUCUGAGAGGAAGGUCCCCCAGAUUGGAACUGAGACACGGUCCAAACUCCUACGCGAGGCAGCAGUGAGGAAUAUUAGUCAAUGGACGAGAGUCUGAACCAGCCAAGUAGCGUGAAGGAUGACUGCCCUAUGGGUUGUAAACUUCUUUUAUACGGGAAUAAAGUGGGGUAUGCAUACUCCUUUGUAUGUACCGUAUGAAUAAGGAUCGGCUAACUCCGUG
rnacentral:rRNA from 1 species